rnacentral:rRNA from 1 species
AUUGAACGCUGGCGGCAGGCUUAACACAUGCCAGUCGAGCGAGCGGCGGACGGGUUAGUAAUGUCUGGGAAACUGCCUUAUGGAGGGGGCUAACUUCUGGCAACUGUCGCUAAUACCGCAUACCAUCAGAUGUGCCCAGAUGGGAUUAGCUAGUAGGUGGGGUAAGGGCUCACCUAGGCGACGAUCCCUAGCUGGUCUGAGAGUAGGACCAGCCACACUGGAACUGAGCCACGGUCCAGACUCCUACGGGAGGCAGCAGUGGGGAAUAUUGCACGAUGGGCGCAAGCCUGAUGCAGCCAUGCCGCGUGUGUGAAGAAGGCCUUCGGGCUGUAAAGCACUUUCAGCGAGGAGGCGUUACUCGCAGAAGAAGCACCGGCUAACUCCGUGCCGGCAGCCGCGGUAAUAC